rnacentral:rRNA from 1 species
GACGAACGCUGGCGGCGUGCUUAACACAUGCAAGUCGAACGGAAAGGCACUGCUUUUGUGGGGUGCUCGAGUGGCGAACGGGUGAGUAACACGUGAGUAACCUGCCCUUGACUUUGGGAUAACUUCAGGAAACUGGGGCUAAUACCGGAUAGGAGCUCCUGCUGCAUGGUGGGGGUUGGAAAGUUUCGGCGGUUGGGGAUGGACUCGCGGCUUAUCAGCUUGUUGGUGGGGUAGUGGCUUACCAAGUCUUUGACGGGUAGCCGGCCUGAGAGGGUGACCGGCCACAUUGGGACUGAGAUACGGCCCAGACCCCUACGGGAGGCAGCAGUGGGGAAUAUUGCACAAUGGGCGGAAGCCUGAUGCAGCAACGCCGCGUGCGGGAUGACGGCCUUCGGGUUGUAAACCGCUUUCGCCUGUGACGAAGCGUGAGUGACGGUAAUGGGUAAAGAAGCACCGGCUAACUACGUG